rnacentral:rRNA from 1 species
AUUGAACGCUGGCGGCAGGCCUAACACAUGCAAGUCGAGCGGAGCGGCGGACGGGUGAGUGAUGCUUAGGAAUCUGCCUGGUCGUGGGGGAUAACGUCCGGUAAUGGGCGCUAAUACUGCAUACUAUCAGAUGAGCCUAGGUCGGAUUAGCUAGUUGGUGGGGUAAAGGCCCACCAAGGCGACGAUCCGUAACUGGUCUGAGAGGAUGAUCAGUCACACUGGAAAUGAGACACGGUCCAGACUCCUACGGGAGGCAGCAGUGGGGAAUAUUGGACAAUGGGCGAAAGCCUGAUCCAGCCAUGCCGCGUGUGUGAAGAAGGUCUUCGGAUUGUAAAGCACUUUAAGUUGGGAGGCGUUACCAACAGAAUAAGCACCGGCUAACUUCGUGCCAGCAGCCGCGGUAAUUC